GUCAAAUCAUCAUGCCCUUUAUGUCCUGGGCUACACACGUAAUACAAUGGCGCAAGAACAGAGGGAAGCGAAGGGGCGACCCGGAGCAAAACCCGAAAAGGCGUCUCAGUUCGGAUCGCAGGCUGCAACCCGCCUGCGUGAAGUCGGAAUUGCUAGUAAUCGCGGAUCAGCAUGCCGCGGUGAAUACGUUCCCGGGCCUU
rnacentral:rRNA from 1 species